UGGCAGUGAUGGUCAACAUCACACAGGGAAGACCAGGUCCACGCUUUGUCCAGAAUCAACUGCUACCACAUGAGUCUUCUUGGUUAAGUCAUUUGAGCCCACAGUGACAGAAUAGGUCCCUGGAUAUACUUCUAUGUAGAGGUCCUUAGAGAUGUUCUCAGCCUGACCAUUCCCUAUGUCCAAGCACAUGUGCAGCUUCGACUCGCCUCUGUGAUAACGAUAGACAUGGGUUGCCCCUCCUUCCUCUGGCACAGAUGAAUAAUAUUUCUAGAGACGUAAUGUCAAAGAUGUUAGCUAACCAAAUUGUCUUGUCAAAUUUUCAAAAAACCCUGAUAUUUGGGCAAAGUGCAGUUAAGGAGGGAGGCAAGAGAGCAAAGGUGAAUUACCUGCCCUCUUGACAGGCCUCUGAAGUCAUGCAACAAACCUUAGCCCACCCAAAGUGGCUGCAGAGAAAGAAAUGCAUUUGGCAUCCCCGUGCUGCCACCUGCUGCCUCCAUAGGGCAAGAA
rnacentral:lncRNA from 1 species